rnacentral:rRNA from 1 species
GACGAACGCUGGCGGCGUGCCUAAUACAUGCAAGUCGAGCGAAUGGAUUAAGAGCUUGCUCUUAUGAAGUUAGCGGCGGACGGGUGAGUAACACGUGGGUAACCUGCCCAUAAGACUGGGAUAACUCCGGGAAACCGGGGCUAAUACCGGAUAACAUUUUGAACCGCAUGGUUCGACAUUGAAAGGCGGCUUCGGCUGUCACUUAUGGAUGGACCCGCGUCGCAUUAGCUAGUUGGUGAGGUAACGGCUCACCAAGGCAACGAUGCGUAGCCGACCUGAGAGGGUGAUCGGCCACACGGGGACUGAGACACGGCCCAGACUCCUACGGGAGGCAGCAGUAGGGAAUCUUCCGCAAUGGACGAAAGUCUGACGGAGCAACGCCGCGUGAGUGAUGAAGGCUUUCGGGUCGUAAAACUCUGUUGUUAGGGGAGAACAAGUGCUAGUUGAAUAAGCUGGCACCUUGACGGUACCUAACCAGAAAGCCACGGCUAACUACGUGCCAGCCGCCGCAGUAA